GACGCAUGGUCUUCUCCAGGAUGUGCUCGAACAGGGCGUAGAGAUCCUUGUAACGGAUACUCUUCCCAUCAUCCAUCUGGUGAGCUGAACAGAGAUCCAGUGGUGCCUCAAGCAGCUGAGGACAAACGAGAAAAGAGAAAAGAGCAGCAAGGACUCACCGCCAGGGCAGUGGAGUAGGAGUUGAAGAUGUUGAUCCUGAACUCCCUCAGCGCUUUCUUGAAGACGACGUCCACCAUGGUGUCCUUCUUACCGUCUUCAGACUCCAGGUUUGUCCUCUGACCUUCUUCAUGAGGAAGUCGUUCAUGCUGCGGUAGUCAUGGGCCGAGCUGAGGAUGUGCAGUGCGUCGUUUUGCCACUGGGCGGGUUCCAGAGCGAUGCUGCUGAUCUUCACACUGCGACGCCUCCUCAUCUUAGGAGACGGCUCCUUGUUCUCCUUACUGUCCCUGACCCCCAGGGAGGGAGCUGCCUCCAAAUCUGGACUGUGAGGAGGAGAAGAAGGGCGUUCUGGGAGGAUGGACACAAACAUGGAGAGAUGGUGGAUUACUAAAAAUGAUUCUUGUUAAUCAAGAAACUUAAAUCUGCAUUAAUUCUUCAUAAAUUGUAUUUUACCUUAUUAAAUAAUAUUCUAUGGUAUACUG